rnacentral:lncRNA from 1 species
CAAAAUUUAAAAUUUUAAAAAGAUAAAAAGAGACAAAGGCAAAGCAUGAUAGCAAAACAGAGGUGGAUUAAAUCAAAAUUUAUGCAGUGGAAAAAUGAUAAUACAGAUCGGAUCGAAGCAAAGCACACCACCAACAAUAAAAAGUAGCCAAACCUAUUGAUAGCGCACUAUUGAGUGAGAUAAUAGCUAAACUCAAGUACUUUCUUACUCUGGCUACUGUCAAAAAUGGUCUCCUUUUUUGUUUCUCCAGCUUGACGCCUCAACUAGCAUAACUCCAUUCUGCACAUGCGUAGACAAGUAUGUAAACAAAUAAAUCAAAUGCCACAAUGUUCCACUGCAUAUCUAAAAAUUAUCAGCUGAACAACCUCUAAUGUGCAAAAUGAAGCUUCACCUGUAGCAAGAUCCGAAAGCAGAUUAAGGGCCCGUUUGGGAUGGCUUUUGAAAAGCCAAAAGGAGCUUUUGAGAGCCAAAAGCCGCUUUUGGACCGUUUGGCUA